rnacentral:rRNA from 1 species
AAGCUCGUAGUUGAAUUUCGGGAUCAGUUUGUUGGUCGUGCUUCGGUACGUACUGUCAUUACUGGUUUCUACCUUCUGAAGAACCUUGAUUUCAUUAAUUUGGUGUCUUGGGGAAUCAGGACUGUUACUUUGAAAAAAUUAGAGUGUUUAAGGCAAGCAUACGCUUGAAUACAUUAGCAUGGAAUAAUGAAAUAGGACGUUUGAUUCUAUUUUGUUGGUUUCUAGGAUCGACGUAAUGAUUAAUAGGGAUAGUUGGG